rnacentral:rRNA from 1 species
GAUGAACGCUGGCGGCGUGCCUAAUACAUGCAAGUCGAACGGAAAGGCGCGGAGUUUGUUGGGUGCUCGAUAGGCGAACGGGUGAGUGACACGUGAGUAUACUGUCCUUGACUUUGGGGGAACAUUAGGAAACAGGGGCGAAUACCGGAGAGGAGCUCUUGCUGCAUGGUGGGGGUUGGAAAGAUACGGCGGUUGGGGAUGGACUCGCGGCGUAUCAGCUUGAUUGUAGGGUUGUGGAGUACUAAGGUUAUGAAGGGUAGCCGACGUGAGAGGGGGAUCGGCCACCCUGGAACGGAGACAGGCACCAGACUCCUACGGGAGGGAGCAGUAGGCAACCGGACGCAAUGGGCGGAAGCCUGACGGAGCGAGGCCGCGUGAGUGAUGAAGGCCUUCGGAUCGGAAAACUCUGUUAUGAGGGAAGAACAGAUGUGGAAGUAACUGUGCACAGCGUGACGGUACCUAGUCAGAAAGCCCCGGCUAACUACGUG